AAAAACCCCUGUUGCAACCCCCUUGUUUCAGCGUACAAGUAUUAAUACGCUUCAACAACCAGUCGGUCAACGCGGGUCAAACCCUUUAAAGGGUUGUUGCAGCGUACAAAUUAAUUGCCCCCUACAAAAGAGAUUUUUGUAGCGUACAUAGUAAAAGCCCCCUGCAAUAGACCUUUUAUUUUGCAGCGUACAUGGUAAAAGCCCCCUGCAAUAACAUAUUUGUAAUUUUUUUCGCUGCAACUUUAACUCAGACCAAACAUUUCUACCUCAAACCUCAUGACCAAUUUCGCAGCGAAUAUCCCACUCUCAUUACUCCCUUCUUCUUCUCUCGGCUUACCCUGCGUCUCGCCGGUGGUUCUCACCAGUGGUCGUCGCCGCGUGGUCUCGCCCGUCGCCGGUGGUACUCUAGCAAGAGUCUAUUUAAUUUCCUCACCUCUCACCGGUGGUUCCCUGCUCGAAAAACCCCCGCAAAAGGUAUUCCCUGCUCGAAAAAACAACCGGCGAAGUGAUUCCCUGCUCGGAAAACUAAGCUUCUUUGCUCGGCCGGUUCGCGAACCCUGUUCUCCGUCAAUCCUCGCUGCGGCAAAGAAAGCCAAAGAAAUUGUUGGCUGACAAGAUUAGGAGAAAAUACAUACGUUUAUCUCGGAGACUUCCUCCACCCUUUUGAAGGGCGCAUAUACCAGUAAAAAACCGUACUGUUAUAAUACUCGAGACAGAUACUGGAGAACAAUACGAAGCCAAUUAUCUGCCUCAAUAUCGUGGACUCAGUGGUGGGUGGAAAAGGUUUGCCAUAGUUCUGAAAUUGGAAGGAGAUACUGUUGUUUUUCAACUAGUUGAACCUGCCAAAUUUAAGUCUACCUCUUCUAGAAUCAAAUCACUAAACUAGUUGAAGCUGAGGAUAAAAGCUGCUAAUGAAGCUGAGGCGGCUUGCCAACGGCGUCUCUCUGUUGCUGAGGCUGAAAUAACUGAUUUAAGAUCCAAAUUGGAUACUACUGAAAGCAUGGAAGGCAAGCAUUCGUUUCUGUGCCUAGCACUUUUCCUGUGCCUGGAGAAGAACUGAUGUUUUGAUGAUUGUAAGAGGGGCAAGGAGAAGCUUGUUUGUGAUGCUGCUCAAGUACUGCUUUAUUUCGGAGUUGAACAAAUCAUCUAUGUUUCUGAAAUGACGCACUGCUAAAUAAAGGUCUACACUCCGAGGAAUGCGCCUAUACUAGUGAGGAAAUUGAUGUGGUUCGUGAGCAACGGGCUAAGUGUUUUACCCGCAAGUAUUUACUAUUGGCUUGAGCGCGCUUGAUCGAGGUGGUUUAGUUGUUAUAGAACAAUCGUUUACAUUAAAAUGUAUGCGUACAUUGAAAUUGGAACGUAUAUUUGAAUGUAGUACGUGCACUUUGGUUUUGGGAUAUAUAUAUAUGUAUACAAAACACCAGUUAUUAUUUUUUAUAUUUGUUGA